GUGCCAGACUCCUACGGGAGGCAGCAGUGAGGAAUAUUGGUCAAUGGCCGUAAGGCUGAACCAGCCAAGUAGCGUGAGGGAAGACUGCCCUAUGGGUUGUAAACCUCUUUUAUGCGGGGAUAAAGGUGUCCACGUGUGGAUGUUUGCAGGUACCGCAUGAAUAAGGACCGGCUAAUUCCGUGCCAGCAGCCGCGGUAAUACGGAGGAUGCGAGCGUUAUCCGGAUUUAUUGGGUUUAAAGGGUGCGUAGGCGGAAUGCCAAGUCAGCAGUAAAAUCGCGGGGCUCAACCUCGCUCCGCCGUUGAAACUGCGUUUCUUGAGUGGGCGAGAAGUACGCGGAAUGCGUGGUGUAGCGGUGAAAUGCAUAGACAUCACGCAGAACUCCGAUUGCGAAGGCAGCAUACCGGCGCUCAACUGACGCUCAUGCACGAAAGUGUGGGUAUCGAACAGGAUUAGAUACCCGUGUAAA
rnacentral:rRNA from 1 species